rnacentral:rRNA from 1 species
UACGAAGGGGGCUAGCGUUGCUCGGAUUGACUGGGCGUAAAGGGCGCGUAGGCGGUUCGUACAGUCAGACGUGAAAUUCCUGGGCUCAACCUGGGGCUGCGUUUGAAUACGUGCGGACUUGAGUGCGGAAGAGGGUCGUGGAAUUCCCAGUGUAGAGGUGAAAUUCGUAGAUAUUGGGAAGAACACCGGUGGCGAAGGCGGCGACCUGGUCCGAUACUGACGCUGAGGCGCGAAAGCGUGGGGAGCAAACAGG